UUUCUUCUUUUUAUCAGGGAAUGUGAUCAAGACAGGAAAUGCCAAUCCUAGAUCUGUACAGUGGACAGCUCUGUAACUACAGCUGGGGUUCUGAUAAGUCCUCUAUUAUCCCACAUUGGGAAUGGAAGUUUAUAGGUCAUUAGCCAGCUCAUUCUUCAAGCCAUAGGGCAUUUCAUAUACAUGAGUGAAAUGAAACAGAUUUCAACAGUGUACAAGACUUGAAAAACAUUUGGAAAUACAAGCUCUGUGGAUGCAGGUUUUUCACUGAAAGAUGGUCUGGAAUCUCAGAAAAAGAACAAUUCGGUGUACCACUUUUUAAUUUUGCAAUGUAAGUUGUAGUUUCACAAACCUUCAUUGCAAUCACACAGAAGAUAACCCAUCUGCCCAGUCACUGAUAAACUCC